rnacentral:ncRNA from 2 species
AACUAAGAACGGCCAUGCAC